rnacentral:tRNA from 1 species
GGAGAGGUGUCAGAGUGGCCGAUUGAGCACGCUUGGAAAGCGUGUGAACCUUUACCGGUUCCGCGGGUUCGAAUCCCGCCCUCUCCGCCA